rnacentral:tRNA from 1 species
GGGGCUGUAGUUAAUAAUAACAUUUGAGUUGCAUUCAAAAAGUAUCUUCAAGAUCUACCUCA